rnacentral:rRNA from 1 species
CGGCAACAGCUCAAAUUUGAAAGCUGCCUCCAGGCCGCGUUGUAAUUUGUAGAAGAUGCUUUGGGUGUUGGCCCGGUCUAAGUUCCUUGGAACAGGACGUCAUAGAGGGUGAGAAUCCCGUAUGUGACUGGUGCCCUCCCCCGUGUAAAGCUCUUUCGACGAGUCGAGUUGUUUGGGAAUGCAGCUCAAAAUGGGUGGUAAAUUUCAUCUAAAGCUAAAUAUUGGCCAGAGACCGAUAGCGCACAAGUAGAGUGAUCGAAAGAUGAAAAGCACUUUGGAAAGAGAGUUAAACAGUACGUGAAAUUGUUGAAAGGGAAGCGCUUGCAACCAGACUUGCGCGCUAUCGAUCAUCCGAAGUUCUCUUCGGUGCACUCGAUGGUGUUCAGGCCAGCAUCGGUUUCGGUGGUGGGAUAAAGGCCGUGGGAAUGUGGCUCUUCGGAGUGUUAUAGCCCACGGUGCAAUGCUACCUACCGGGACCGAGGACCGCGCUUCGGCUAGGAUGCUGGCGUAAUGGUUGUAAGCGACCCGUCUUGAAACACGGACCAAGGAGUCUAACAUCUAUGCGAGUGUUUGGGUGUCAAACCCAUCCGCGUAAUGAAAGUGAACGGAGGUGAGAACUCUUUAGGGUGCAUCAUCGACCGAUCCUGAUGUCUUCGGAUGGAUUUGAGUAAGAGCAUAGCUGUUGGGACCCGAAAGAUGGUGAACUAUGCGUGAAUAGGGUGAAGCCAGAGGAAACUCUGGUGGAGGCUCGCAGCGGUUCUGACGUGCAAAUCGAUCGUCAAAUUUGCGCAUAGGGGCGAA